AUUUGUAACUGCCUGGUAGUGGGCCGUUCGGGGCCACGCAGAGUUUGUUACGGAGAGUAGUGGCGUCAUGGGGCCAUUCAAGGUCACGUGGAGUUUGUUAUGGAGAGUGGAGUGGUAUCCAUUGUCACGACUUGCUAGAGAGUGGUGGGGUCAUGUGAAAUCUGUUACAGAGAGUGGAGUGGGGUAGUGGCCAUUGUCGCGACUUGCCUGAG
rnacentral:lncRNA from 1 species